GAUGAACGCUGGCGGCGUGCCUAACACAUGCAAGUCGAACGGAAGGACAGUAAGCUUGUGCUCUUACGGGUGGCGGGUGGCGGGCGGGUGACGCGUGCAUCGGAUUCUUCUUUUUCGUGGAGGAUCACGUAAGGAAGGCUACGAUACUACCGGAUAUGCUCUACCGGAGGGAGCAGGGGAAAUUCACGGCUUUCGUGGCUGAAUGAGCUGGUGCCGGAUUGGCUUGUUGGGUGGGUAAAGGCUCACCCAGGCAACGAUACGUAGCCUGACUGAGAGGAUGAUCGGCCACACUAGAACUGAGACACGGUCCAGACUCCUACGGGAGGCAGCAGUGGGGAAUAUUCGGCAAUGGGCGCAAGCCUGACGCAGCCAGACCGCGUGAGUGAUGAAGGCCUUCGGGUCGUAAAGCCCUGUUGUUGGGAAAGAACAGCUGUAGCAUAAUACGCGGCCGUCCUGACGGUACCCAAUCAAGAAGCACCGGCUAACUACGUG
rnacentral:rRNA from 1 species